rnacentral:rRNA from 1 species
GACGUAGGGCGCGAGCGUUGUCCGGAUUUAUUGGGCGUAAAGAGCUCGUAGGCGGCUUGUCGCGUCGGCUGUGAAAACCUGGGGCUCAACCGCGGGUCUGCAGUCGAUACGGGCAGGCUAGAGUUCGGUAGGGGAGACUGGAAUUCCUGGUGUAGCGGUGAAAUGCGCAGAUAUCAGGAGGAACACCGAUGGCGAAGGCAGGUCUCUGGGCCGAUACUGACGCUGAGGAGCGAAAGCGUGGGGAGCGAACAGG